rnacentral:tRNA from 1 species
GAGUAGCUCAGCUGGAUAGAGCAACAGCCUUCUAAGCUGUGGGUCGUGGGUUCGAAUCCCGCCUCG